UUGGAGGGCAAGUCUGGUGCCAGCAGCCGCGGUAAUUCCAGCUCCAAUAGCGUAUAUUAAAGUUGUUGCAGUUAAAAAGCUCGUAGUUGAACCUCGGGGUCUACCCAUUGGUCAGGCUUAAUUGUCUGCACUGGUGAGAUGGAUCUCUACCUUCUGAGGAACUUUCAUGCCAUUUAUUUGGUGUGAUGGGAAAUCAGGACUGUUACUUUGAAAAAAUUAGAGUGUUUAAAGCAGACUAUCGUCUGAAUACAUUAGCAUGGAAUAAUGAAAUAGGACGGACUGAUUCUAUUCGUUGGUUUCUAGGAUCACCGUAAUGAUUAAUAGGGAUAGUUGGGGGCAUUAGUAUUCAGUUGUCAGAGGUGAAAUUCUUGGACUUAUUGAAGACUAACUACUGCGAAAGCAUUUGCCAAGGAUGUUUUCAUUAAUCAAGAACGAAAGUUAGGGGAUCGAAGACGAUCAGAUGCCGUCGUAGUCUUAACCAUAAACUAUGCCGACUAGGAAUCAGACGAUGUUAAUUUUUUAAUGACUCGUUUGGCACCUUACGGGAAACCAAAGUGUUUGGGUUC
rnacentral:rRNA from 1 species